AUACUUACCUGGUGGGGGAAAUGUCCUAAUUACAACAAUGGUUUUCCCAGGGCAAGGCUUAUCCGUUGUGCUCUGGAUGUGCUGACCCCUGCAAUUUCCCCAAACGUGGGAAACACAGCUGCAAAGUUUAUGAUAGCAGAGGACUGUGCUCACACUCUCCCCUA
ensembl:snRNA U1 U1 spliceosomal RNA